rnacentral:rRNA from 1 species
UUUAAAUUGAGAGUUUGAUCCUGGCUCAGGACGAACGCUGGCGGCGUGCUUAACACAUGCAAGUCGAGCGAAGCUAUUCCUUCGGGGAU